rnacentral:sRNA from 1 species
GUGCUGGUUUCUUCAGACUUUUCUAUGU